GGUCGCUUAGCUCAGUCGGUUAGAGCGUGGUGCUAAUAGCGUAUAAAGCUAGAACACGCCAAUGUCGCAGGUUCGACCCCUGCAGUGAUCA